rnacentral:lncRNA from 1 species
GGAGAUGUGGAAAGUGCUGUUUUGCUAGAAUUUUUUAUUCCGCUCUCUGAAAGCGAACUAUCUUUGCGUUCACUUCUACAAAGAAGACAGUGCUCGCCAGUUGUAUACGGUGCCCUUUGGCCCAAGCCAAAGGUAAAUGGUGUCUGAGAAACACCUGUGAACUCUGAUCCAACAGAACUGUCUGUAAACUGUGUACCAUUUAGUGAAACCUCGCCGUGUCCCGCCGCCGCCCCGCCGCCACCGCCCAGGGCUCCGCUGCCGGCGGCCGGGGCUGUCAGCAGGCCGCCCACCGCGCUCGGCGAGCCGGCCGCCGCCUGGCUCGCAGCCCGCAGAGGGACCGCUCCCGCCGCGGCCCGGCCUUGCCCAGGCCUCCGGCGCCGCCUCCGCCGCUGGGUCCCGGCCCGCCGCUGCUGCCGAGGCCGCCGCCCCGCUUGUUCUUCCGGCGCUUGGCUCCGCGCUUGGCGUCGGCCGGACUCAUCGCGCCUGACACCCGGGCGGGGAGGAGGGAGCGGGGGGGAGGAGGAGAAGGAGGAGGGGAAGGGGCGCGGGGCCGCGGCGAGCUGCCGGGUGCGGAGGGGGCGGGCAGGGCCGGGGCACGGGGCACCCCGGGCGCCGAGGAGCGGAGCGCACCGACUGUCACGGCAACAGGGACUCCCUCGGCCCCAGCGCCGCUGACCAGAGUUACCGUCCAAUAUGGCGGACACAAGGGGAAAGUGAUCCCCCCUUACGUCGGGGGGCUCCCCCUCGCGCUGACGGGAACCCACCCCGCAGGGCGCGUCGGGAAGCGUAGUUCUCUCGCGCCCCGCUGCCGCGCUGCGCGUGGGGCCGAGGACUACAGCUCCCGGCGUGCAUCGCGGGACCCCGC